rnacentral:rRNA from 1 species
GACGAACGCUGGCGGCGUGCUUAACACAUGCAAGUCGAACGAAAAGAGGGAAAGAGCUUGCUCUUUCCGGAAUUGAGUGGCAAACGGGUGAGUAACACGUAAACAACCUGCCUUCAGGAUGGGGACAACAGACGGAAACGACUGCUAAUACCGAAUACGUUCCAAGGGCCGCAUGGCCCAUGGAAGAAAAGGUGGCCUCUACCUGUAAGCUAUCGCCUGAAGAGGGGUUUGCGUCUGAUUAGCUGGUUGGAGGGGUAACGGCGCACCAAGGCGACGAUCAGUAGCCGGUCUGAGAGGAUGAACGGCCACACUGGGAUUGAGACACGGUCCAGACGGCUACGGGAGGGAGCAGUGGGGAAUCUUCCGCAAUGGGCGAAAGCCUGACGGAGCAACGCCGCGGGAGGGAUGACGGCCUUCGGGUUGUAAAACUCUGUGAUCCGGGACGAAAAGGCAGAGUGCGAAGAACAAACUGCAUUGACGGUACCGGAAAAGCAAGCCACGGCUAACUACGUG